AUUGAACGCUGGCGGCAGGCCUAACACAUGCAAGUCGAACGAGUGGCGGACGGGUGAGUAAUUUCUGGGAAACUGCCUGAUGGAGGGGGAUAACUACUGGAAACGGUAGCUAAUAACGCAUACCAUCGGAGGUGCCCAGAUGGGAUUAGCUAGUAGGUGGGGUAACGGCUCACCUAGGCGACGAUCCCUAGCUGGUCUGAGAGGAUUACCAGCCACACUGGAACGGAGACACGGUCCAGACGCCCACGGGAGGCAGCAGUGGGGAAUAUUGCACAAUGGGCGCAAGCUUGAUGCAGCCAUGCCGCGUGUAUGAAGAUGGCCUUCGGGUUGGAAAGUACUUUCAGCGGAGAGGCGUUACCCGCAGAAGAAGCACCGGCUAACUCCGUGCCAGCAGCCGCGGUAAUAC
rnacentral:rRNA from 1 species